UCCGGUUUAUCACCGGCAGUCUCAUUAGAGUGCCCUUUCGUAGCAACUAAUGACAAGGGUUGCGCUCGUUGCGGGACUUAACCCAACAUCUCACGACACGAGCUGACGACGGCCAUGCAGCACCUGUGUUCCCGCCAGCCGAACUGAAGGGCUCCAUCUCUGGUGCCCAUACGGGACAAGUCAAACCUAGGUAAGGUUCUUCGCGUUGCAUCGAAUUAAUCAGCAUGCUCCGCCGCUUGUGCGGGCCCCCGUCAAUUCCUUUGAGUUUUAGCCUUGCGGCCGUACUCCCCAGGCGGGGCGCUUAAUGCGUUAGCUGCGGCACGGAGACCGUGGAAGGUCCCCACACCUAGCGCCCAACGUUUACGGCAUGGACUAC
rnacentral:misc_RNA from 1 species